rnacentral:rRNA from 1 species
GAUGAACGCUGGCGGCGUGCUUAACACAUGCAAGUCGAACGGAAAGGCUCCUGCUUGCAGGGGUACUCGAGUGGCGAACGGGUGAGUAACACGUGGGUGAUCUGCCCUGCACUUCGGGAUAAGCCUGGGAAACUGGGUCUAAUACCGGAUAGGACGAUGGGUUGGAUGCCAUUGUGGAAAGUUUUUUCGGUGUGGGAUGAGCUCGCGGCCUAUCCGCUUGUUGGUGGGGUAAUGGCCUACCAACGCGUCGACGGGUAGCCGGCCUGAGAGGGUGUACGGCCACAGUGGGCCUGAGAUACGGCCCAGACGCCUACGGGGGGCAGCAGUGGAGAAUAUUGCACAAUGGGCGCAAGCCUGAUGCAGCGACGCCGCGUUGGGGAUGACGGCCUUCGGGUUGGAAACUCCUUUCGCUAGGGACGAAGCGCAAGUGACGGUACCUGGAGAAGAAGCACCGGCUAACUACGUG